ACAAGUACCGUGAGGGAAAGUUGAAAAGAACUUAGAGGUGAGAGUUCAACAGGGCGUAAAACCGCUUAGAAGUAAACGGAAGGUGCUGACAUUAUUUCUGCUGGAUUCAGCUGGUCCUGAGGUGCUCGUCUGUUCGCUGAUCGCAAGACGGUGUUCAGAGUGUCCGCGCCGAGGGGCCGGUGCAUUUCCGGUAGAAUGCAUCGUGACCGCUGACUUUGCUGGCAAAAGGCUGGUUUGUUGAAGACUGAGGCCUUCGGGUCUUCAGUGACUAACUUACUGGUACCUGUCCGGGUUGAGGUCAGCGGAUAACCCGAACGUGCCCGAUUCUUCUCGUCCUAGUCGUCAUUGGGUUGCAUGACUCGCUCGGCUGUGCUUGCACGGUCGGGCACCCCGCAGCCCUCUAAGCGGCGAAGGUUCGAGUUGGCACUUAAGGUCUACGGUGUCCGCGUCAGUCUCCCUUCCGACCCGUCUUGAAACACGGACCAAGGAGUCUAACAUGUGCGCAAGUCAUAGGGUGGAAAACCCAAAGGCGUAAUGAAAGUAAAGGCCGCAAGGCCGAGGUGUGAUGUUCGGCUUGACCGAAUCGCAACACCGCCCCAUCGCACCGGCUUGUCCGGGCGGUGGAGGAAGAGCGUACACGUUGGGACCCGAAAGAUGGUGAACUAUGCCUGAGCAGGAUGAAGCCAGAGGAAACUCUGGUGGAGGUCCGUAGCGGUUCUGACGUGCAAAUCGAUCGUCAGACUUGGGUAUAGGGGCGAAAGACUAAUCGAACCAUCUAGUAGCUGGUUCCUUCCGA
rnacentral:rRNA from 1 species